AUUGAACGCUGGCGGCAGGCCUAACACAUGCAAGUCGAGCGGUAACAGGAAUCAGCUUGCUGAUUCGCUGACGAGUGGCGGACGGGUGAGUAAUGUCUGGGAAACUGCCUGAUGGAGGGGGAUAACUACUGGAAACGGUAGCUAAUACCGCAUAACGUUUUCGGACCAAAGUGGGGGACCUUCGGGCCUCAUGCCAUCAGAUGUGCCCAGAUGGGAUUAGCUAGUAGGUGGGGUAACGGCUCACCUAGGCGACGAUCCCUAGCUGGUCUGAGAGGAUGACCAGCCACACUGGAACUGAGACACGGUCCAGACUCCUACGGGAGGCAGCAGUGGGGAAUAUUGCACAAUGGGCGCAAGCCUGAUGCAGCCAUGCCGCGUGUAUGAAGAAGGCCUUCGGGUUGUAAAGUACUUUCAGCGGGGAGGAAGGUGUUGUGGUUAAUAACCGCAGCAAUUGACGUUACCCGCAGAAGAAGCACCGGCUAACUCCGUGCCAGCCGCCGCGGUAA
rnacentral:rRNA from 1 species